rnacentral:rRNA from 1 species
GGAGUUUGGGCCGUGUCUCAGUCCCAAUGUGGCCGUUCACCCUCUCAGGCCGGCUACUGAUCGUCGCCUUGGUGGGCCGUUACCUCACCAACUAGCUAAUCAGACGCGGGUCCAUCUUAUCCCGAUAAAUCUUUUCACACUGUUUCAUGCGAAACUGUGCGCUUAUGCGGUAUUAGCAGUAAUUUCCAACUGUUGUCCCCCUCUGAAAGGCAGGUUGCUCACGUGUUACUCACCCGUCCGCCACUAAGCUUGAAAAGCAAGCUCUCCAAGCUCCGUUCGACUUGCAUGUGUUAGGCGCGCCGCCAGCGUCGUCCUCGAGCCACUGAUCAAACUACU